rnacentral:tRNA from 1 species
GGAGGGAUUUCCGAGUGGUUAAAGGGGGCAGACUGUAAAUCUGUUGGCGAACGCCUUCGAAGGUUCAAAUCCUUCUCCCUCCACCA